UCCUGAUCCUGGAAUGUGAUAGUCCCUAGGAGGAGCCUUUACACCAUCUUGAACGGACAACACAAAUGCUAUGGCGAGAUAGAGUAUCAUGAAUAGUGUUGAAAACCCGAGCCAAACUCUCAGUGCUGAUAAAUGAGGUGUUGCAAUGGCAAAGAGGAUGCAAGCAACUCCAGCUAUAGCUAUAAAGUGUGGCAGCUUUAACAUAUGGUCAUCCCUAAAGAGCAUAUAGAAAGCCUUUAGGGCUGAACCACUCAUGAUGACAUAUCCAAUAUUUAUCAAGAAGAGAUUUGCAUAUUGUAGUGCCCAUAUAAGCAAAUAAGCUGUCCG
rnacentral:misc_RNA from 1 species